rnacentral:rRNA from 1 species
ACCAGCUCCUCAAGUGGUCGGGAUAAUUAUUGGGCUUAAAGUAUCCGUAGCUGGCUGGACAAGUCCCCUGUUAAAUCCACCGAUUUAAUCGUUGGUGUGCGGGGGAUACUGUUCGGCUAGGGGACGGGAGAGGCCGACGGUAUUUCCGGGGUAGGGGUGAAAUCCUAUAAUCCCGGGAAGACCACCAGUGGCGAAGGCUGUCGGCUAGAACGCGCCCGACGGUGAGGGAUGAAAGCUGGGGGAGCGAACCGGAUUAGAUACCCGGGUAGUCCCAGCUGUAAACGAUGCAGGCUAGGUGUUUGGGCGGCCACGUGCCGCUCUAGUGCCGCAAGGAAGCUGUUAAGCCUGCCGCCUGGGGAGUACGGCCGCAAGGCUGAAACUUAAAGGAAUCGGCGGGGGAGCACCACAAGGGGUGAAGCUUGCGGUUU